GGGGGCGAACAGGUUUCGACGGGGAAGUAGUGAAAUUUGCAUAAAGCGUGUGGCAGUGUGGACUCUGCCUUAAAAGCCACAAAAAAAUAAACGCAGAUUAUAGCGAAAAUUUAGUUGCUGCCUAAGCGCGCAACACGCCACUUUAAAUGCGCACGAGUUUAAAGUUUAGGCGUUCAAAAUUCGUGACCCUUUAAAACAAAUUUAGUGCUGUUUUGUUUUAAAAAAUUUUAAAGCGCUGGCAAAAGUGCACUUGUUUAUGACUGUGCUUUUGUGAGAGAAAAGAGCAUAAACUACACAUCGUAGAAAAGCAAAUUUAACCUUUUUCGGACGCGGGUUCAAUUCCCGCCGCUUCCACCA
rnacentral:tmRNA from 1 species